rnacentral:tRNA from 1 species
GCGCUUGUAGCUCAGCUGGAUAGAGCGUUAGACUCCGACUCUAAAGGUCGCAGGUUCGACUCCUGUCAAGCGCACCA